rnacentral:rRNA from 1 species
AUACGGAGGGUGCGAGCGUUAAUCGGAAUUACUGGGCGUAAAGCGUGCGUAGGCGGUUGAUUUAGUCAGAUGUGAAAGCCCCGGGCUCAACCUGGGAACUGCAUUUGAAACUGGUCAACUGGAGUAUGGUAGAGGGGGGUAGAAUUUCUGGUGUAGCGGUGAAAUGCGUAGAUAUCAGAAGGAAUACCGAUGGCGAAGGCAGCCCCCUGGACCAGUACUGACGCUGAGGCGCGAAAGCGUGGGGAGCAAACAGGAUUAGAUACCCCAGUAGUCC